CAAUCAGCUUGAGGAGUUUCACUCAAACUUCCUUCUGAACGUGCAUCUUGGUCUUUAGCUCAGCUGGAACUCAAAAGGUAAAGGAGAAUACGGGAGGUUUCUGGGAAAAGCCUCGCUAUCAAACAAUGCCAGUCAGGAGAGGGAAGCAACACACAUCCCAGUCAGGAAGCUGCAGCUGGCGAAUGGAAAGAAAAACAAGUUUCCUUCUCACUCUGCGGCUGAAACAGAGGAUCAUUUCUGCACAAAGAGGGAUCGGAAAGGAAAGAUGGUGGAGAGACAGCUGGGUGUCAUCUGCAGAGCUGUGAAAACGAACAGCAGAUUCUCUGAAAAUAAGACCAACUGGGAGGAGAUGGAUGAAGAAAAGGACCAAGACCAGAACCUUGAGGAACACCGGAGGAAGACUGGGCCUCGACCAAAACCACCAGGGAAACUGACUGUUAUUUGCUGAGAUGAAUUUUUGAACAAACCGAAGCUCAAACACGGAGAUUAAACACGUAGCAUAAGAUUGUAUCUAUGGUAACAAUAAAAUGAUAAAAAU